AUGGACACACAGCACAGUCAGCCUGCACCUCACCAUGGGGGAUGCUCCACCACCCUAGACAGGCUGGACUGGGCUGAGCUGGGCUGGGAUGAGCUGGCUUCUGCAACCAACCCGAGCAUCUUCCCGCUGAGCCUCUCUGAUCCUCAGUCAGAGACCGUGGUCGUCGGCGUCCUGAUCCGGGGCUACUUCCCUGUGGGCCCUCUGAGUGUGAGCUGGAACGUCAGUGGGAAUGAGAUUAAUUUCCCACCUGCUGUAUCUGGGAGCCUGUACACCUCAUGCAGCCAGCUGAGCCUGCCAAAAAACCAGUGCCCAUAUGAUGUGUCCUGCACCGUGGACCACAACAAAUACAUCAAGCAGGUGUCCGUGUCCUGCAAAGAAACUUGUACACCUAUAACAACUCCACCUCCAACAACCACGAUCUGCCCCUGCCCCUCCUGCAAGCCCAACAUCUUCCUGCAGCGGCCAAGCAUCAAAGACCUGCUCCUCAACUCAGAAGCCAGCAUCACCUGCACCCUGAAAGGCUUGAAGAACCCCGAUGAUGCCGUCUUCACCUGGUCACCCAACACAGGGAAGACACCUGUGCUGCUUAGUGCCCAGGAGGACUCCUGCGGCUGCUACAGUGUGUCCAGCGUGCUGUCCGGCUGUGCAGAACUCUGGAAAGAGGGGAAGACCUUCACAUGCACUGUCCAACACCCUGAGAUAGAGGGCUCACUGACUGACACCAUCAGCAAAGACACAGGGAAUGUCAUCCCACCCCAGGUGCACCUGCUACCGCCACCAUCAGAAGAGCUGGCCCUGAACGAGCUGGUGACACUGACCUGCCUGGUGCGCGGCUUCAGCCCCAAGGACGUGCUCAUCUACUGGCUGCACCAGGGACAGGUGCUGCCUGAUGACGACUUCCUGGUGUUUAAGCCCCUGCCAGAACCCAACCAGAGUUCCAGCACCUUCGCCGUGACCAGCCUGCUGCGCGUCUCGGUCGUGGAUUGGAACAACGGGGACAACUUCUCCUGCGUGGUGGGCCACGAGGGCCUGCCCGAGAACUUCACCGAGAAGACCAUCGACCGUCUGUCGGGUGAUCGGGAACCCAUCCCCUGGGUGGUGCUGGAUCUGCCACCAGACAGCCUAGAAGAGGAGACCCCCGGAGACAGCCUGUGGCCCACCACCAUCACCCUCCUCACCCUCUUCCUGCUGAGCCUGUUCUACAGCACCGCGCUUACCAUGACCAGCAUCCGGGGCACACCUGGCAGCAAAGAGGGACCCCAAUAUUGACACAUAGGCAGGGUGCACAGAGCUGGGUGCACACAACCCGAGGAUAGCAUGUCCUGUUGUCACCACUGAAUGACCCUCAAGAAACUCCUGGCAGGCACUGGAUAGGCCUGGGCUCAGAAUGGACAUUUCCCAGGGACAGGCACUGCAGAUUCUAGCACGUCGGCUCAGCUCUGGAAAUGACCUGCCAGAACAAGUGGGCAGGGACGCUAGCCACCCUCAGGAGCACCUACUUUGCAAGAUGGAACAGCAGCUCCACAACCAGAGCCUGGACACAAGGAAGCAGCUGACCCCCACCCACCUACUCAUGCCCAGUCCAAUAAACCUCUCCUUCAUCAAA